GGCCUGAUGGUCUAGGAGUAUGAUUCGUUGUUAGGGACUUCUGUGUCUUUCGACGAGGUCCCGGGUUCAAUUCCCGGUCAGGCCC